AGGAGAAGCUGUAUGUGGAGCUGAAGCACAUCCUCGCCCGGCAGCCCGGCCCGGAGGCAGCAGAGCAGCUGCAGCAGUGCAAGUGGAUCCUCAGAGAGAGAACCAAGAAGCUAAAGGCGUUGAUAGCAGAGCUGAGGAUGGUCGACUCGAAGAUGAAUGAGUACAAAAGUGAGAAUCAAAGAUUAGCUAAUGAGAUGGCAAACAUCAAGAAGAAGUACCUCAGUCAGAAAAUGGUCCACAGUGAGCAGAGGGGCCGCUCUAAGGUGGAGCAGCCGGAGCCCCUCCCCCAGCUCAGCACCAAGGCUCACUUCACAGGAGGAGGCUUCAGGAUCGACGUACCUGUGAGAAGAUAAGAACCUUAAAGAGCCAUCUGACAUAUUUUACUUCAUUUAAAGAAAGACAUCUAUACAGUGGUGCAGUGAUACACGUUAGUUAGCAUCACAACAGGUCUCUUAACAAAAGCCAAUUGCAUUUCACUGGAUUUGGAGAAAUACAGAAAAUAAGAUCUGUGGCUAACACACAUUGUGAUAAAUGUUUUGAAAAAGACAAGUUCGAUUUGACAUGAUUUGAGACAAGAUAACUCAAAGGGCUAAAAUUAGACCCUCCAGAAAAACGCGAUUCUGCGAUCGCAGAAUUUACCGCAU